UGGAUGGGGAGAGAGAGAGACAACGCUAUUAGUGAAAGAGAAACAUACAUAUAUGAUGGAUACCUCAAAAGAAGAUGAUAUUGGGGUUGGGAAGAAAAUGUGGGAAAACUAAAAUCACCAAAUUAAACAGCAUGAUGCAGAGGUGAGAAAAUGUUGUAGUAAAUGGUGAAAUAUAGAGUCUAAUCAAACAACUGAACAUUGUUCAGUAAGGGUUCAGAAGGCUGUUCUAAAGGCAAGGUUGUUCUUUGAGCAAGCAACAACCCUCUCCUCCAAAGGUUACAUAAAACGUCUCUCAAUUCAGCCCCCACUCUCCUAUCAAGCCCACACAGAGGUAGGCGUCUGUGAAAACACAAGACAAGCAAAAAAAAAUCAUGAAACAUCAAAAUCUCCCAUUGCAGAGAUAUUGAAAAGACAGCCACAAAGUAAGCCCUUACUCAGGGGUUCGUCAAAAAAAAUCAUCUUUGUUCUCAUGGAACUGAGUUUGCUGCUAAUAAAAAUAGAAAAAACGGAGCAGGAAAAAGUUUUACAGAAUGAUAACAUCUGAGUCAGCAAAGUUGCUUUGUUUCAUAUGUAAUUUCAAGCUAAAGAUAAAAAAAGCUGCUGUUGUAUUAUUAAAGUACUGAAAAUUAUGUUUUUAUGUAUGAGACAACUUUAAAUUCCAAUGGUCACAAAACAGCAUUUAAUACCUGGAUGAAGGUAUCUAUUAAUCUUAUCCACAACAUUUUACGUACUAAGGUUUACGUACUUAACUUGUUACUUUCAUUAUAUUAUAAAGUAUAUUCAGUGCUAUUACAAUAUGCUGCAAUAUGUCAGAUCACCAUUUAGUUUUUUUUAAGCUGAAUAAUUGAAGAGUUUCUCUCUUGAAUCAUCACUGAGCAUUAAAUGUAAUGGAAACCUAUUAGCUUCAUUAGCCGUCAUGUAUUUUAUCGUGUUUUCUUGAUUGAGUGGAAAUGCUUGGCCUGCUUAUCGACGGGAGGAGAUGAAGUAUGAAAGUACAGUUACUGAUAAUAUCAAUGCGAGGCUGUAAGCUGAGGCUUUUUAAUACAAACUUGUAAUCUGAACAGACGUAGCUGAUAAAGCCCAUACCCUGAACAGAAUGAGCCCUCAGUCUCAAAAGCUGUGUUAUGAUCCUUCACAGAGACAGGAGUUGGAGAAAAUAACAAUGACACAUAAUACAAUUUAGUACAACAUAAAUGCCAUCUUUGUGAGUCUACAGUUUUGUAAAUGAAAGGGAAAAACAAUUAACCUUUUUUAACUUUUAAAUCUGAAGGUUACAAACUGUAUGGAAGCCUGAAUGUACCUCUUCAGCCAUUCAGACAUCAAAAUCAAACAAGAAAACACAAACAUUGCAUGAGAUUCUCUGCGGGAGGACGAUCAACGUCACAAUUAGGCCAGUUAUGCACAGCCAGACUAUAGUCCCCCACGCUGCUUUAAAGUAAGAAAUAUCGUGCACUGAGAGGUGUUUCUAAAAAAAAUUCUACUCCAUUUAAAUCAAAUAAAGUAGACUAAAUAUCAGCUACACUUCCCAGUAUAACCCAAUACAAUUCAACAGCACCACAAACUAUAUCCUUAAAAAUGACCCUUCAUUUCCUUUAUGGAUUGUUCAUUAAGUCAGUUAUCAUCUGUUUGACAUUUGGUGAAGGUGUUUCAUUAGCAGAUUUUCCUUUUUACCACAAGGUGCCGUGCUUUCAGUGGGAAAAUGACUCCACCUCGAUUUAUCUUUGGAUUACGAAAAUCUCGCCUAGUUGAUUUGAAAGGCAGCUGUAGGCUAUAAACUUCAACAACAAAGCCACGUUUUAUAGCUGCCUUUAAACCUGAAAAGCUUUAAAGGCAGCCACAUGAAAGAACCAGAAACAAGCAGUAAACACAACAAAACUCCACUUAAUAAACCACUCUUUUCUAAGAAAUUAUCACAUGUGUAGUUUGCCAGUAUUUCUGUUAAUACGCAGCAUAGUAAAGUCAUGGCUGUAGCUCUUUCUAGUCUCUCCUUUUCAUCUGGUAUGAAAAAAAACAUUUUCAGAGGCCUUGAACAGCGUUUUCUCUGUGCAAGCUAUUUUGUCAGAUUUUUCAGCCUUUAUGGGGCAAUGUCAAUGUAAUGUUUGAAACAAAAGAGACAUAUUGUAGCAUUAGAAAGAAUGACAUUAGGAUCUCUUGGGAUAAAAUAAGCUGUUCUCUAUUUUCUGUAAUUUUCUCAGUGGACAUUUGUUUGGCAGUCAAAUUCGUAUUUUUUAUUUGUUAUGAACACCCAGAGGGCCUUGUUGGACCUGGUACUCAUUUAUUUCUCACAAAUAUGCUGAGCUCAGAUGCAUGUCAGCUCAUCUUCAAAGAGACAGAUGUUAUUUUCUUAUUGUAGCAGCAGAGCAUUAUAUUUAACAUAGAAAUAAGCUGCUUUUCUGUCAAAUUACACCACAAAUUAUUUCUGUUUGGGACCAAUGUUCAUCUUAUUUGUUCACACAGGCAACUUUCAUCCUCUAAACUGGUUGACAUAAGUUAAAAGACCAGUGUCCAGGACUUAGUGGAAUAUAGCUGUGUGGUGGAAAGGCUCAUUCUAAGACUGGACCUUUAACAGAUAAACCACUCUGCAUCAUAAUGACACACAUACUGUAGGUGGACAGCUGUUUCGUCUUGAGAACGGUUCACCACUCAUCCAAGAGGCUUCAACACUUCUAAUGACAGGUGGAGAUUCAGAGACAUUUCAACCUCUGUGGGUCAUUCACACUUUAAUGUCACACGAUAUCAGAGAAGUUAAAAUUGCUUUCUGAUCUGGAUGAACUCAAAAGUAUGCAGCAAAACUGCUGCAUAAUGCUUUCUAACAUAUAAUAAACACCACAAGAAAAACAACCUCACACGUGCAUCAACAUACUACUGUACUACAAUACGAGGUGUGUGCACGUGUGUGUUUAUUCCUGCUGAGGGACAUGGAAAGAUUGCUGACAUAGUAUGUCGGCUUAAAAUUGCUUUUAUCUAGAUCACAAGGCUUGACUGGCCAUCCAAACUCCACGGAGGAUCAUUUGUUACUGUGUGCGUGCGUGUGUGUGUGUGUGUGUGUGUGUGUGUGUGUGUGUGUGUGUGUGUGUGUGUGUGUGUGUGUGUGUGUGUGUGUGGGUGGGUGGAUGGGGUGGUACAGGACCAACAUGAACACGUGUGGACCUGAUAAGCCACAAAUCUGUCUAGCUAUGACACCGGCUCUGCUCCCAACAUCAUCGAUUACAGAACACCGCAGCCUCGUUAUCACAUUGAGUGGAAGCUGGAGUGCUGAUAUCACUGUGUACUGAUUGAUGAUUGACACUGCUACACUGUGUGCAUGUGACUGUCCAACAAAAGGCACACAUCCAACAGACAUCCAUGAGGAACCCAGCUCAACUGAUAGUGCCUAGUAAAAUGCUUUGCGCAGACAGCUGCCCACUGUCCCACAGGAGUGGUUGCCUCGUAGUGUGUUUGUGUAUGUCCAUGGCCGUAAAAAGGCUCAUCAUGUCACUGCGGUGUACGUCUUCAGCUCUGCAGCCAGGAAUUGUACCGUCAGAGGCACAGCUGACUUUAAAAGUGCAUCUGCAGCAGAGAGCACUGUGGCAGUCAAGGGUAAAAUAUUUUUAUACAGCAGCAUUAGAUGACCGAGAGACCUGCUUACUGAUUUGCUCGAGCAAAAAGGCCUCAUGGGAAAUUAGGGAGCUGAGAGGGUAAAGCAGUCAUUUUAUAAGACAUCGGUUCAAAGUACAGUGCUCAGAAAGUGCAGCCUAAUAAAGAACCAUUUGUCUAUACGAUUACAAUUAUUCUGCAACAUUUGCACAUCUUUACAGUGAUUCUGGCCUGUCUGUUGUAACUAUGUGCCGCCAUUUUGUACUUUUCAUGGAUACUAAGAAACUUUACAAUAAUAGAGACAUCUUGUGUUCAGCAGGAAAACUUUUAAAACUAUGAACUUUUUAUAUUCAAAGAUUCUGAAAUGUUUAAUGAGGUAGAAGGAGUAGAUGCAUUUUCAAUGAUUUAAAUGUGGAAAUGGAUGUGGAUAUGUUUGCUGAAAAACAUAUUAGACACACAUUAUUGUUCCAGACAGACUAUUUGUACAUGUCAUAACACAUAACUGGAGGGGAUCUUUAAAGAACUCCUCGUGAUCUCUCCUGCUCCAAGAUUUUCUCUGCAGGCGUUUGCGAUGU